CUUGAUUUUGUUUUCUUUGAUCCCCAAAUUGUCCUGCAGAAUUUAUUAGCACAACUCCCUGAAUUUGAUCAGAAGGUAAUUCUGAUGCUGCAAUAAGAGCAGUAAAUCCUCCAAGGCUGCAAUAUUGGAGAAACAUCAUUACAGUUUGUUUUUUGAAAGUCUAUUUAUUGCUCUUAUGAAAAAAAUUAUUUAUUUAAAUGUUUCAAGUCCAGCAAUUGCCUGUUUCCAACUAGAACUGCUGGUUCCUUUACAAUUUCUUUCAGGAAAUCGGUAACUUGAUCUCUCCAUAUCAUGGCAUCAUACUCGACAAGUGCCUUGUCACUCCAUCCAAAUCCCAACAAGUCCAAGGCAUAAACUUUAUGGGAUUUUGCAAGCUCUGGUAUGUUGUAUCUGCUCAUACAUUAAUAUCUUAUUUUUUAUUUUUUAUAAAACAAAAAUUACAUAUAGCUAUUAGCUACCAAGUAACAACCAAGAGGUCAUGAUUUUAUAUUUUUACCUCCAGUGAUAAGCUGAAGCCCCAAAACCAUGUAUAAGAAUAACAGGAGGUCCACCAGUUCCUUGUUCUACAUAAUGAAUUUUGUUUCCUUUCCAGUUCCAGAAACUGUAUCCUUCUUUUUUGAAUGGUAGUCUCUCCAACCCUGUAUUUUAUUAAGAAAAGGGGGGGAAAAUCAUAUUCACUUAUUCAGACUCUGAUACCUUUUGCAUUAAGUGGCUUUGGCAUGUAAAGUUGUAAAUUGUACGACUGUAGUUUGUAAAAGUAUAAAAUUGACUAAUAAAUAACAAUAAGAUAAACCUUGUGCGGGUUUGUCUUCUGUAAGUAAAGAAGAGCAUAACACGGUAGAGAUUCCUUUGACGGCUAAAUCCCUUCUUCUGAGCAUACCGUUACAUGAAAUCCCUUUCAAACAAGCAAAAACCAAAAAACCAGCCAGAUUCACUUUCAAUUCUUAUUUUGAGUAGAGGAAUAUUAGAGUAAGUAGUUGGGAAUGGUGAUAACUUACUUUGAAUUUCCUGUUUUUGUGGAGAAGAAAGGAAGGAACGAGUUGGAGAGAAAAUAUCUCUCCGGGACGGGACUGUAAAGGAGUUUGAAAUCGGAGAAGAAAUCAUAUCUGGAAAAUGGCGCAGCAAAUUUGAAGAAUGUCUCUGCCUCUCUG
rnacentral:lncRNA from 1 species